CGGCUGUAGCCAAAUCAAACAUCAGAGAGAAGUUUACUGGCCGGUUGUCGUGAGAUCUCUUCGAUCUCUGUCGACCAAUCUGCUUACUGAACUUAUUAUAUUC